GAUGAACGCUGGCGGCGUGCUUAACACAUGCAAGUCGAACGGAAAGGCCCAAGCUUGCUUGGGUACUCGAGUGGCGAACGGGUGAGUAACACGUGGGUGAUCUGCCCUGCACUUCGGGAUAAGCCUGGGAAACUGGGUCUAAUACCGGAUAGGACCACAUUUUGGAUGGUGUGGUGGAAAGUUUUUCGGUGUGGGAUGAGCUCGCGGCCUAUCAGCUUGUUGGUGGGGUAAUGGCCUACCAAGGCGUCGACGGGUAGCCGGCCUGAGAGGGUGUACGGCCACAUUGGGACUGAGAUACGGCCCAGACUCCUACGGGAGGCAGCAGUGGGGAAUAUUGCACAAUGGGCGCAAGCCUGAUGCAGCGACGCCGCGUGGGGGAGGACGGCCUUCGGAUUGUAAACUCCUUUCGCUAGGGACGAAGCGUUAUGUGACGGUACCUGGAGAAGAAGCACCGGCUAACUACGUG
rnacentral:rRNA from 1 species